CAGCAGCCACGGUAAUUCGUAGGUGGCAAGCGUUGUCCGGAAUUAUUGGGCGUAAAGGGCUCGCAGGCGGUUUCUUAAGUCUGAUGUGAAAGCCCCCGGCUCAACCGGGGAGGGUCAUUGGAAACUGGGAAACUUGAGUGCAGAAGAGGAGAGUGGAAUUCCACGUGUAGCGGUGAAAUGCGUAGAGAUGUGGAGGAACACCAGUGGCGAAGGCGACUCUCUGGUCUGUAACUGACGCUGAGGAGCGAAAGCGUGGGGAGCGAACAGGAUUAGAUACCCCAGUAGUCCCUGUCUCUUAUAC
rnacentral:rRNA from 1 species